GCCCAGGUAGCUCAGGUGGUAGAGCAGGGGACUGAAAAUCCCCGUGUCGGCGGUUCAACUCCGUCCCUGGGCA
rnacentral:tRNA from 2 species